rnacentral:rRNA from 1 species
UACGGAGGGUGCAAGCGUUAUCCGGAUUCACUGGGUUUAAAGGGUGCGUAGGAGGGCAGGUAAGUCAGUGGUGAAAUCCCCGAGCUUAACUUGGGAACUGCCGUUGAUACUAUCUGUCUUGAAUAUUGUGGAGGUAAGCGGAAUAUGUCAUGUAGCGGUGAAAUGCUUAGAUAUGACAUAGAACACCAAUUGCGAAGGCAGCUUGCUACACAAUUAUUGACUCUGAUGCACGAAAAGCGUGGGGAUCAAACAGG